rnacentral:rRNA from 1 species
GAGUUUGAUCGUGGCUCAGAACGAACGCUGGCGGCAGGCCUAACACAUGCAAGUCGAACGCUCGUAGCAAUACGAGAGUGGCAGACGGGUGAGUAACACGUGGGAACCUUCCCUUUGGUUCGGAAUAGCUCAGGGAAACUUGGGGUAAUACCGAAUAAGCCCUUCGGGGGAAAGAUUUAUCACCAUUGGAUGGGCCCGCGUCGGAUUAGCUAGUUGGUGGGGUAACGGCCUACCAAGGCGACGAUCCGUAGCUGGUCUGAGAGGAUGAUCAGCCACACUGGGACUGAGACACGGCCCAGACUCCUACGGGAGGCAGCAGUGGGGAAUAUUGGACAAUGGGCGCAAGCCUGAUCCAGCCAUGCCGCGUGAGUGACGAAGGUCUUCGGAUUGUAAAACUCUUUUGGCGGGGACGAUAAUGACGGUACCCGCAGAAUAAGCCCCGGCUAACUUCGUGCCAGCCGCCGCCGUAAG